UCCAGACUCCUACGGGAGGCAGCAGUGAGGAAUAUUGGUCAAUGGGCGGGAGCCUGAACCAGCCAAGUCGCGUGAGGGAAGAAGGUACUGAGUAUUGUAAACCUCUUUUGCCAGGGGACAAAGGCGGCCACGGGUGGCCGUAAGAGGGUACCUGGAGAAAAAGCAUCGGCUAACUCCGUGCCAGCAGCCGCGGUAAUACGUAGGGGGCAAGCGUUAUCCGGAUUUACUGGGUGUAAAGGGAGCGUAGGCGGCGCUGCAAGUCCGGAGUGAAAGCCCAUGGCUUAACCAUGGUACUGCUCUGGAAACUGUGGAGCUUGAGUGCGGGAGGGGCAGGCGGAAUUCCUAGUGUAGCGGUGAAAUGCGUAGAUAUUAGGAGGAACACCAGUGGCGAAGGCGGCUUGCUGGACUGUAAAUGACGCUGAGGCUCGAAAGCGUGGGGAGCAAACAGGAUUAGAUACCCGAGUA
rnacentral:rRNA from 1 species